rnacentral:rRNA from 1 species
UACGUAGGGGACCAGCGUUGUCCGGAUUUACUGGGCGUAAAGCGCGCGCAGGCGGUCGUUCAAGUCGAGUGUGAAAGCCCCCGGCUCAACUGGGGAGGGUCAUUCGAUACUGAUCGACUCGAAGGCAGGAGAGGGAAGUGGAAUUCCCGGUGUAGUGGUGAAAUGCGUAGAUAUCGGGAGGAACACCAGUGGCGAAGGCGACUUACUGGACUGUUCUUGACGCUGAGGCGCGAAAGCUAGGGGAGCAAACGGG